GGAGGGUGUAGCUCAGUGGUAGAGCACAUGCUUAGCAUGCACGAGGUCCUGGGUUCAACCCCCAGCACCUCCA
rnacentral:tRNA from 1 species